rnacentral:rRNA from 1 species
AGUCGAGCGGAGUGAUGGUGCUUGCACUAUCACUUAGCGGCGGACGGGUGAGUAAUGCUUAGGAAUCUGCCUAUUAGUGGGGGACAACAUCUCGAAAGGGAUGCUAAUACCGCAUACGUCCUACGGGAGAAAGCAGGGGAUCACUUGUGACCUUGCGCUAAUAGAUGAGCCUAAGUCGGAUUAGCUAGUUGGUGGGGUAAAGGCCUACCAAGGCGACGAUCUGUAGCGGGUCUGAGAGGAUGAUCCGCCACACUGGGACUGAGACACGGCCCAGACUCCUACGGGAGGCAGCAGUGGGGAAUAUUGGACAAUGGGGGGAACCCUGAUCCAGCCAUGCCGCGUGUGUGAAGAAGGCCUUAUGGUUGUAAAGCACUUUAAGCGAGGAGGAGGCUCUUUUGGUUAAUACCCAGGAUGAGUGGACGUUACUCGCAGAAUAAGCACCGGCUAACUCUGUGCCAGCAGCCGCGGUAAUACAGAGGGUGCAAGCGUUAAUCGGAUUUACUGGGCGUAAAGCGCGCGUAGGCGGCCAAUUAAGUCAAAUGUGAAAUCCCCGAGCUUAACUUGGGAAUUGCAUUCGAUACUGGUUGGCUAGAGUGUGGGAGAGGAUGGUAGAAUUCCAGGUGUAGCGGUGAAAUGCGUAGAGAUCUGGAGGAAUACCGAUGGCGAAGGCAGCCAUCUGGCCUAACACUGACGCUGAGGUGCGAAAGCAUGGGGAGCAAACAGGAUUAGAUACCCUGGUAGUCCAUGCCGUAAACGAUGUCUACUAGCCGUUGGGGCCUUUGAGGCUUUAGUGGCGCAGC